rnacentral:tRNA from 1 species
UUAGCUCAGUCGGUAAGAGCAUCGUGCUAAUAACGCGAGGGUCGCAGUUCGAGCCCUGCAUCGACCA